CCUAAUUUAUAUGGACUAAAAGAAGCUAAAAUAAGACGAACACCAUUUAUGACAUAAAAAUUAUAUCAACAAGAACAUGCAACAAAACUAAAGUAAGGGAUCAAAUGUAUGCCACCAACACUCCAACAGUAUAAAAAAAUAAAACAAAACAAAAUACAUCAUCACGGCUAAUUUUGUUUCCAUUAAUUUGAACUUCAUUCCCUUGAUCUUUAUCAUUCCUUAAAUGUGGUAGAGGAAAUAGUAGGGUAA
rnacentral:lncRNA from 1 species